rnacentral:rRNA from 1 species
GACGAACGCUGGCGGCGUGCCUAAUACAUGCAAGUCGAACGAGAGCGACCGGUGCUUGCACUGCUCAAUCUAGUGGCGAACGGGUGAGUAACACGUGGGUAACCUGCCCAUCAGAGGGGGAUAACAUCCGGAAACGGAUGCUAAAACCGCAUAGGUCUUCGAGCCGCAUGGCUUGAAGAGGAAAAGCGGCGCAAGCUUCUGCUGAUGGAUGGUCCCGCGGUGCAUUAGCUAGUUGGUGAGGUAACGGCUCACCAAGGCCGUGAUGCAUAGCCGACCUGAGAGGGUGAUCGGCCACAUUGGGACUGAGACACGGCCCAAACUCCUACGGGAGGCAGCAGUAGGGAAUCUUCCGCAAUGGACGCAAGUCUGACGGAGCAACGCCGCGUGAGUGAAGAAGGUUUUCGGAUCGUAAAACUCUGUUGUUAGAGAAGAACAAGUGCUAGAGUAACUGUUAGCGCCUUGACGGUAUCUAACCAGAAAGCCACGGCUAACUACGUG